rnacentral:tRNA from 1 species
ACACUGGUGGUUCAGUGGUAGAAUUCUCCCCUUCCACACAGGAGACCUGGGUUCAAUUCCCAGCCACUGCA